CAGGAUGGGACUCGCAUCUGCUCUGGUUGAUGAGGCGCUGUGAGGAUGGCAGGGAAUGUUCUUCCCUCAGGAGGUGAGGAGAAGGUCUCUCACUCCCACAGCUUCUUCUGGUACUUUCUGGUAGAUUAGCCCAAGACCCCUGCUUUCGGCAGCCCGCAGUGGAGCAGGGAUGCAGAGCUGCGGUCAGGCCACCGGUGUCCUCGUCCAUCAAUCGCUAACCAGAUUUGGGAUUUCCUGAUAGCAGGAGCUGAGCUGGUCAUCUCCGGAUCCCCCAGACCUAGCAUGGAUACUGAAUGGAAUACUUUUAGAAGAUAAACAUCUGGAAUAAUGCUUGACGAAAUACCUGAGUACAGACUGUGACCCAGUCAAGCUGACACAUGAAAUUAACCAUCACACUGUCGGACUCUGGCUGUGUGACUUUAUCUCAUUUCUUCAUCUAUAAAAUGGAGGCCACACUUUUACCUCUCACAUGGGGCUGAGAGAGGAUUAAAUGGUCAAUAUUUCCAAAGGCCCGAGGCUACUGCUGGUGUAAGGUAAGUACUGGAGAUUUGCUAUUAUUAUUUAUGUAACUUCCAGCCCCACAAACACAGUCCCCAACCACCAAACACCCCACACACUAGCCUAUAAGGGCCCCAGGGUCAGCGGCCUCAUGGAAGGAAGAGAACGCUGGCGGAAUGAGGGAAUGAAUGAUGCCCUUGAUUGCCUUUCCACUUACAACACGGUAGGUGAUACGGCGUCCACAGCUGCAGCACGGUCACCAUAAACAAGCAUUUCCCCAGCUGGGCCAUGGCCCGUGGAAACCCUGCUUCUCCCUCCAGGUUCCUGUGGACUCCAGCUUCUGGGAAGGUAAGGCUUCCUCCCUUGGGAAGCAUUUUGAGUGUUUUGGCCUGUGUCCUUUCAGGAAGCCCCGUAGCCAACACACACCCCAGGGCAGGAAGUGGGUGAGAACAACUUAGACCUUGGACAGAAAGCAAUUCGGAAACUGGCUCAGCCUCUUCUCGUUGCUGGCACGGCAAGCAGUGUUAAGUGUGAGCAAUUUUUUGUUUUGUUUUGAAUUUGAAUGGUUCCUUUUUCUCCUUCACGAGGAGGCCAUGGUUUCUGAGAGUGGGGCUUGCAUGUGGCAAAGAAUAAGGAUGGCAAGAAGGGCGGAAGCACCCCUGAGCACUGCAGCUGCUACUUCCAGUGCACUCUCUGUUUACAACCGCCCUGGGAGAUGAGAAGAAAACCUCCAGAUUAUACUUGAAACGCUGAGGCUGGAAGAGGUAGACAAGAUGUGGCGAAGUCACACAGCUGCCAACUGAUGGGCUGGCCUGCUGGAUCCCAGAGCCAACAUUCUUUGUGGUAGGGGAGGUGUCUAAACCAUCUUUUUUUGCUGGGGACAUGCAAAUACAUGGAAACUCACAACGGCUGUGUACUUCUCACAAACUUUCAAAAGGUGUUUUGUGAAUUGAGCUAAAUUCACUGCUGUGCAGGAGAUGUGAGGCCCUAAACAUGGUAUAAAAUUCUGUAACGGACACUUUACAAAAGAAGAAGGAAAGGGAAAAAAGCAGAUUGAGAAAUGCCACAUACGUUUCCAGGCGGGGACAUAGAUUUCAUGCCGUUACACAGCUUUCCUAACUCCAUUUCACCUAGCUGGAGCUUUGGACUCUUACGUAAAGUUCCUUAUUCAUUUGUUCAGCAGAGAUUUAUUAAGCAGCCACUGCGUCUCUUGCAACUACAGAAUCAGUCUUUUGAAAAAUGAACCAGAAAAUGUAUGGAAACUAAUCCUGCCUUUCUCACCAAACACACUGUAGGGAUAACCUCUCUCAUACGUGGGCGUCAAAUGUUUACAAAACUUGUGCCUUCCAUCUGUCACUUUCCUGCUGGCCGCUGGGCCUCCGGACACACAGUUCCCCUGCCUGCAGCACUCCAAAAAUAUUCUAUGCGCUCCCCUCCCUACAAAUAUUUGAUGAAGGAAUAGCAGAAAGAACACAUUCUUUCCAUGGUUUAUAUAAGCACCACACUCCUGCCAGGGCUAUCUGUCUCAGCUUUUUCCUUUUCACGAUGAAUCGUACCACAGUUUGUGCCUGAUGCUCUGCAGAAAUUGAUCUUAACACUUAAAAACAACUUUGCCUGUUGGGUACAUGUCAGAUGUUUUACAGAGUAAUCUUCACAUUUUCCUGCUUGAGCGAUAUAUUCAGACAUCCCCACACUCAUUCAGCUGAUGGGAAUGUUGGUCUCAGCCCUUGAACAAAUCAAUCAGGUAGGCUGGAGGGGCAUCCUGGAUUCUUCUCCAGGCUCCAUCGUCAGACACUGGUUC
rnacentral:lncRNA from 1 species